rnacentral:rRNA from 1 species
ACUCUGAUGCAGCGAUGCCGCNUGAGUGAAGAAGGCCUUUGGGUUGUAAAGCUCUUUUGUAGGGGAAGAUAAUGACUGUACCCUAAGAAUAAGGUCCGGCUAACUUCGUGCCAGCAGCCGCGGUAAUACGAAGGGACCUAGCGUAGUUCGGAAUUACUGGGCGUAAAGCGCGCGUAGGCCGUUGAGUUAGUUAAUUGUGAAAUCCCAAAGCUUAACUUUGGAACUGCAAUUAAAACUGCUCGACUAGAGUUUGAUAGAGGAAAGCGGAAUACAUAGUGUAGAGGUGAAAUUCGUAGAUAUUAUGUAGAACACCAGUUGCGAAGGCGGCUUUCUGGGUCAACACUGACGCUGAGGCGCGAAAGUAUGGGUAGCAAAGAGGAUUAGAUACCCUCGUAGUCCAUACCAUAAACGAUGAUUGCUAGAUGUUGGAAAUUUAUUUUCAGUAUCGCAGCUAACGCAUUAAGCAAUCCGCCUGGGGAGUACGACCGCAAGGUUAAAAAUCAAAUGAAUUGACGGGGACCCGCACAAGCGGUGGAGCAUUGUGGUUUAUUCGAAGAUACGC